GAUGAACGCUGGCGGCGUGCCUAAUACAUGCGAGUCGAGCGAACAGACGAGGAGCUUGCUCCUCUGACGUUAGCGGCGGACGGGUGAGUAACACGUGGAUAACCUACCUAUAAGACUGGGAUAACUUCGGGAAACCGGAGCUACUACCGGAUAAUAUAUUGAACCGCAUGGUUCAAUAGUGAAAGACGGUUUUGCUGUCACUUAUAGAUGGAUCCGCGCCGCAUUAGCUAGUUGGUAAGGUAACGGCUUACCAAGGCAACGAUGCGUAGCCGACCUGAGAGGGUGAUCGGCCACACUGGAACUGAGACACGGUCCAGACUCCUACGGGAGGCAGCAGUAGGGAAUCUUCCGCAAUGGGCGAAAGCCUGACGGAGCAACGCCGCGUGAGUGAUGAAGGUCUUCGGAUCGUAAAACUCUGUUAUUAGGGAAGAACAAAAGUGUAAGUAACUAUGCACGUCUUGACGGUACCUAAUCAGAAAGCCCCGGCUAACUACGUG
rnacentral:rRNA from 1 species